rnacentral:rRNA from 1 species
GACGAACGCUGGCGGCGUGCCUAAUACAUGCAAGUAGAACGCUGAAGGGGGAGCUUGCUUCUCCGGAUGAGUUGCGAACGGGUGAGUAACGCGUAGGUAACCUGCCUGGUAGCGGGGGAUAACUAUUGGAAACGAUAGCUAAUACCGCAUAAGAGUAGAUGUUGCAUGACAUUUGCUUAAAAGGUGCAAUUGCAUCACUACCAGAUGGACCUGCGUUGUAUUAGCUAGUUGGUGAGGUAACGGCUCACCAAGGCGACGAUACAUAGCCGACCUGAGAGGGUGAUCGGCCACACUGGGACUGAGACACGGCCCAGACUCCUACGGGAGGCAGCAGUAGGGAAUCUUCGGCAAUGGACGGAAGUCUGACCGAGCAACGCCGCGUGAGUGAAGAAGGGUUUCGGAUCGUAAAGCUCUGUUGUAAGAGAAGAACGAGUGUGAGAGUGGAAAGUUCACACUGUGACGGUAUCUUACCAGAAAGGGACGGCUAACUACGUG